AUUGAACGCUGGCGGCAUGCUUUACACAUGCAAGUCGAACGGUAACAGGCCGCAAGGUGCUGACGAGUGGCGAACGGGUGAGUAAUGCAUCGGAACGUGCCCAGUCGUGGGGGAUAACUACUCGAAAGAGUAGCUAAUACCGCAUACGAUCUAUGGAUGAAAGCGGGGACCGGAAGGCCUCGCGCGAUUGGAGCGGCCGAUGUCAGAUUAGGUAGUUGGUGGGGUAAAGGCUCACCAAGCCAACGAUCUGUAGCUGGUCUGAGAGGACGACCAGCCACACUGGGACUGAGACACGGCCCAGACUCCUACGGGAGGCAGCAGUGGGGAAUUUUGGACAAUGGGCGCAAGCCUGAUCCAGCAAUGCCGCGUGCAGGAAGAAGGCCUUCGGGUUGUAAACUGCUUUUGUACGGAACGAAACGGCUCUGGUUAAUACCCGGGGCUAAUGACGGUACCGUAAGAAUAAGCACCGGCUAACUACGUG
rnacentral:rRNA from 1 species